GUAUCCACACUUUGGUCUUCCUUCUUCUUGAGUUUCAUGUGCUUUGCAAAUUGUAUCUUGGGUAUUCUAAGUUUCUGGGCUAAUAUCCACUUAUCAGUGAGUGUAUAUCAAGUGACUUCUUUUGUGAUUGGGUUACCUCACUGAGGAUGAUAUCCUCCAGAUCCAUCCAUUUGCCCAAGAAUUUCAUAAACUCAUUGUUUUUAAUAGCUGAGUAGUACUCCAUUGUGUAAAUGUAGCACAUUUUCUGUAUCCAUUCCUCUGUUGAGGGGCAUCUGGGUUCUUUCCAGCUUCUGGCUAUUAUAAAUAAAGCUGCUAUGAACAUAGUGGAGCAUGUGUCCUUCUUACUGGUUGGGACAUCUUCUGGAUAUAUGCCCAGGAGAGGUAUUGUUGGAUCUUCCUGUAGUACUAUGUCCAGUUUUAUGAGGAACCACCUUUAAACCAUAGGUCCACCACCACACUUUCAUAGCACAUUAGUUUAGCACUAGUUAGCAUCAGUUUCUUUAUAAUGUUUAGUCACAAACCACAUAGUACCAAAAAAACAAACAACAACAAAAAAUUAUUAUGACACUAGAAGUAACCAUAAGAAUAUUUCCUCAUAGAAUUGAUUUUGCUUACUCACUCUAUAUGUGCUUUAUUUUACUUGAAUUUUGAUAAUUUUUAUCAUCUUUUGCAUAGAAUCAAUUUGUAUAAAAAUCACUCAUAAGAAUGACUUUCAAACUAUUAAACUUAAUUUUGCCUUACUAAGUUCCCAUAGAUCUUCAUUUCUGAAUGCUUUGUGGAAAUAUUUUAAAUAGAACACUUGGUUAUUAUUUUCUGUUCUCCAAAGAUUCUCAAAUCAUGAUUUGUUCCAAAAUUAGAUGGCUAGAUAAAUCUUCUUAAGUUGGAUAUUUAAAAAUGCCAUGAUCUUUAUUAGAGUGAUACAGUCUGUUUCUGUCUCUAAGUUACUGACCUGGCUGAAACAGAGUUUCAGAAAUCCCUCUGUAGGCUAGACACCACACUAGUACUUCCUAAAGAGCCAUGCCUCCUACUUACCACAUUGAAGGUGAAUCUGUCCCGUAAUGUUUCUGUACUUAGACAUGGGACUUGGUGGCCACCAUUACCAAAAGUGGCAAAGCAGGGGCUUUAUAAGUUCUUGUUCUGAGUUCUUUUCUCAUUAGGAUUCAUCCUAUGUGUUGCAAAGAGCUGAAGAAGAGUUUCCUAGAGAAAGAACCGAUGGAAAAACUGUAGGACAAGACUCUAGGGAGAGAAUCAGGUGUCCAGGCCAUACUAUCAGCCCAGAGCACAGCUGCGGUGACCCCACACAUCACUGAAGAAAUACUUGCCCAAUACAAAAUCACAAGAAAUGACAAAUACUGUUGUUUUAAGUCUAGUGCUAAGACUUUUUCUUUGGCAACAAGAGAAUGCCAUUUUUUCCUACUUAAAUGUUACAGAAUUCAGUAUUUUUCCUCCUUUUCCAUGUCUCAGAGAAGGCUAUUGAACAAGAACAUAUUGAAUUCCCCAAGUAUCAAGUUUACACACAUGGAAGCUAGAAUGACCACAUCAGGUGGGAAUUCAAAUAGCAUCUUUAUCUUCUCCCCUGAAAAGGAAGAAUUCUUGUAUCAUCCCAUUAUCAUCAUCAUUAGUGAUCCCACUAAAAUAAUACAGGAUGAUGUGUGAUCAGCACUUUCAAAGCCCUGGUGCAUCAUAUCAAAAUAUAAAUCCUCUAGAAAACUCAGGAUGUCAUAUAUAGCUCUUUACCUGUUCUUCUUAAUUUGCUGUAGACUUCUUUAAUGUCUGAGACACAUUAUGUGUGUCCUCUACUCAAAAAAUAUACAACUGUAUAAGAACCACUUUACACACCGCUUCAUCAACUGUAUAAGGCAAAAUCACAAAUUCACUAACAACAACAACAACAACAACAAGUGCUCUCAGAAAAAAGCUGACUGGAAAGUACAAGUUAAAUAAAAAGGAGUUUCCAUAACUGAAAUAAUGAUGGUGUGUG
rnacentral:lncRNA from 1 species